ACAUUGAAAUUUCCUCCCAGGCAAGCAUAUCAUCUCCAUCUUCGUGGUCCGCAUUUUCUGCCUCCCCCUCACCCAGUCGUCCAUUGCCUUCUUUAGACUGGGUUGAUAAAUUUUAAAUUCCCUGCGAGAAUUUCCCUGAAGGCCUGAUCCAAUGUCUUCAGAGAGAAAAAAGGCCAGAGCCAUAAUUGCGGAGGGAGAUGAUCCGCAUCAUUAAGGAGAUGAUGAAAGCCUGUGCCUCUCCAUCUAGAAGAGCCUCAACAGAAAUUGCCAAAAGACUGGUUGCAAUGUAUCCCAACUCAUUACAGGAUGUUAUUGAAGGGGACGUCGUGGGACAGGGGUACCACUCAUUGGUCAAACAAAUCCAAGCAAGAAUUGAGAAUGUGAAGAGGUCUUCAUCACCAAUGAUACAGAAGCGCAAAAAAGGAUCAGAUGACACAGAUGAAGUACCACCGGAAAAGCGAGCAUCUAUCCAAGACACAUAUGGCUGCAUAAAGUGGGACAUGAAAUGUUUGCCUGUCUGUCAGUGAGACAUCGCAGAGCCAGCAGGAGAAACAGAAACAAAUGAAGAUUCUCAGUGAACAGACGAGCUUCAGUCCUGAAGAAGUAAAAACCCUAAUGAAAUGCACCUACUACUCUCAGCGUAAAGCAAUCAACAAGGGAGCAGACUUGCAAAUACUCAUAGAAGAGUGGCCUUUUCUGUUUGAAGAGAUUAGAAUGAGCGUUCAUUUUGAAGAGCUUACUGGAGUACCACUAAAACAGAUUUUUCUCACAAGUCUUGAAAAGAAAGCAAAACGGCUUCUGCAAUUUCUGGAAACUACUUGCGCAGACAAGAGUAAGCGAGUCCUGGAGGCUGUCGUAAAGCUUCGGAUGCAGAGAGGACAGCUGAAGGGCAGCUCAGAGGAUGUCAAGGAUAUGAUGCUCCUCCUUCUCUCCUAUUUUGAUGAAAAAGAGAAAACCCUCCUCCACUAUGUUGAAGAAACAUGUCUAGCAAGAGAGGUCCAAAUGGAAGCCCUUCCUGUGACACCAUGCAUCAUUGUUUGUGGCUCCUCCUGCUACGCAUCAAGACUUUUCAUGCUGAGUGUCAACCACAACGUUGUGAAUGACCAUAUAACAGACUUCAUCUCUGCAAUCUGUCUGAUGCUUGGAUGCUACUACUGCCUUAACAUCCACUAUCCAGUGAAACUUGGCUCCACACUUGAGUUCCUUAAGAGCUGUUUCCUCAACAUCAACCCAGAGAAGGGAACAAAAGCUGAAAAAACUGAAAAGAAGACAUUGCAUGUCAACCCAAGAGUGCUCACCCUCAUUGCAGAACUGUCUGAUCACGAGUGGCGAGAGACCAUUUAAAGACAUGUUAAACUGAUAGGUUCAGUCAGACUGGGAACCAUAUUCUGUAUUAUUUGUAUUCUUUCAUGUUAUCUGUUAUCCCAACUGAUGAGAACUAUUUCAUGUUUUUUGUUGUUACAUGCAUGUUUUUCAGAGGUUUGCUUUCUGUUCUUUGAAACAAUGGAUUCAAAUAACGGAAAUUUAGAGACAUUUGUUUAAAGCAGUUUAUACUUUAUCUGACCUAUUGUUAUUGAUAACUUUAUUCUUGCUGUUUUCAUUGCAGUCAUAUUUUUUACACUAAAGUGUUUAAACUGUUUAAAUUUUUUUUUGUCUUCACAAUGUAUGGGCUGAAAUCUGUUCCACUAGAAACUGAAUUUGAAUUAUUACAUUGAGAUUGAAAAUCAUGAUCUGAAAUUGAAUAUUAUGUUUUGAAAUUAAAUCUGCAUUGUGUGAACGGAAAUUGAAUUUAGUAUUUUUGAAUUGAAGGAAUAUAGAGAGUAGAAUUUUUCAAGGUGGUUAAAUACAAUUUCAAAGCACAAAUAAUCAAUUUCAAAGCAAAACAUUUUAUUUCAGAUCACACUUUUCCAAUUAAAUAUAAUAAUUCUCAUUUAGUUUCUAGUGGCACAAAUCUCAGCCCAUAAUAAUGAUUGUUGUAUUCCUGCCCCUUCAGGCGUUGCAUUGAAAAUGCUCCGUACAUUUAAGUUACUAAAGUCGGGAGACACAAUAAGGUGGUUUUACUGAAUUAAAUUAAGGCUAAGGUUUUAAGAGGACGGUAUACCCGUUAAUAUUAUCUGUAAAUUUGUCAUUGGUAAACAUGUUGUGAAGUGUUUUCAAAUAACACCAGCAUUUUGUAGCAGUAAGGUUCUGCAAAGUGUACUUGCUUAUUGUGCAUAUUGGCUUGAUCACUUAAGUGAGGUCAUAACUUUGCCAUUUUAUUGUUUUGUCAUUUAUAUUUUGAGGCAUUAUUCAUUUUCUUCUUUUUUUUUUUUUUUUUUUUGAAAUGCGAUUUUCUUUUACAGGAAUUGAAUCAAUAUGUAGAGCUUUAACAGUUUUGGAUUUCUUUUAUACAAUGCUUGGAGAAGCUUUAAAAUGUUUUGCUUUUAUUCCUUUGAAACCGUUUAUUUGAGAACCAGGGAAAGGUCAAAUACAUUCAAGACAAUAAAACUGUCAGUGAAGGACAUUUGAAAUUGUUUUUUUCAGUGGUUUUCUAACACAUUGACAUAAAAGUAGGUUGACACAGCUAAGACCUGAAAGUCUCUUCAAGGUUAGUAAAGUAAGCACAGAUCUUUGAUAUUUUAAAUAUUUAUCGGCUGUCUAAACCUUAUUUGAUCUUUUCUUAUGAACAGAAAGUUAAGUCUUAUUCCUGCCCUUUUCAAGCCCUGAAUUUGAACUGCAACCUCAAGGAACCAAUUUCAAUGCCCUGUGACUAAGGACAUGGUAAGAUUUCAAAUCAUAUAAAAGCCAAACGUUUGUUUUUUUGUUAUAUUUUUAAAAGGCAUUCAAAAACAUUUCUUCUCCCUCUCUGUGCAAUUUAGGUCUGCUUUUGUGAACAGCAUCAGAAGAGAAUGACAGGCAAACCAGUGUCAAGAAUAUGAUCGAUGAAAAUGUGCUGAAGACAGAAUCAAACCUUGGCUGGAAAGUUUUGGUAUGUUACACUAUUUUAGCCGCUUGGAUGGCUUAGCUUUUAAUGUUGUUGAAUGGGUCAUUCAAUAACAUUUAUUUGAUUGUAAUAUGAAAUCUGUGCAUUUUAGGCACUGUGGUUCUGUGUUAUACUGCUUUGCUCAUUUAGGUAAAUUCCAAAGUAUGUGUAAAAUGGAAUUAUAGCAACAUUUUUAUCUUCAUUUCUGCCAUGCAUUGCUGAUAUUUUGAAUUGUCAGUGUUGUAGGAAGAGUGUGGAAAUCAACACAAAUCCAUACAGUGCAGCAUGGGGAAAACUUGUUUUGCUUUGAUAAUUGAGUUUUAUUUCUUGCCUCAUUAUUAUUUUUCGUAGUUAUAUUUAUAGGUGUAUGUACUCUUUGUCGUUUUCUUUCUAAAUGCAGAAUGGAUCUUUCCGAUUCAGAGGGAAACGUUUGUCAACCUGAGUCUUCAUGGAGAGAUGAUGGCAUUUUUCAGGUUUCCCUAAACGUCCCACUAUGUCUGUAUGAGACUCGCCUGUCUUCCGUCAAGUAUGUACCUAGACCAGAGGUCAUUAACUGGCGGACCGCGGUCCGGGGCUGGACCCAGAAGCUGUCCCAUCCGGACCCAUACCUACAGAAAAUCAAAACAUUUAUGUUUUGUCUCAUAAUGACAUUUCACAUUGGCACUUUUAAUAAGUGCUACGGUUUCUGAACAUAUGAAGCACACUGGUUUAGUGCUUCCAGCGGGAAGGAUGAAUAAAAAUGAGUCUGUCCAUUCCGGAUUAAAGAUCCUAUUUUCACUGUCCACUUUUCUUUUAUUAGAAAGCGCCAUCUGUUCCUUAUCUUUCCGUUCUCUGCCCCACCCGUCUCGUUCAGCUCUCUGUAGCACUGUCCUGACUUCCUUUCUCUGGUGCACUCAUUACUCUCCCUUUCUUUUUUCUCACCAGUCUCGUUCAACUCUCUCCAGUGCUGUUGUGUCUCUUUCUCUACUUUCUAAGACGUGGCUGUCUGUAUCUCCUCAACUGUCGUGUGUCACUUUGCCUCCUUCUCGUCUGACUUCUCUGCACUUCCUGCAGUCACAAUAUUUACCGCCAGGAAUGCACAGACUUGUUUGGCUGAGAGCUAUCACGUGGUGUGGCUUAACUGUCAUGCAAUUGGUCUGUCCUUUUCCGUACACACUAAGACGCUACCGUGAAGUCUAUAAAAGCAACGCAAGUUAAAAUAAAAGCUCCCGUCAAGUUUUAAAUAUUACCCCUUUGAUUUUCUGUAGGUAUGGGUCCGGAUGGGACAGCUUCUGGGUCUAGCCCCGGGCCGCGGUCCGCCAGUAUAUUCGUUUGGGCUGUGACAGGCUGGUGCAGCUUCAUGUCUGGAGUGCAUCAAAUGGUAAACAUAUGGAGGAAGCUGGAAUCGAACCCACAACCUUCUUUUUGCAAGACAACUACUCUUCCUACUGAGCCACAGUCACCUGAGGCUUAUGAAGGAGUUCAAAAGCAGCAGGAACUCCUCCUUGUUCCUGGAACCUGCAGAUCCAGUUGUGUGCAUAGACAUUUUGGGGGCCAGGUGCUCAAGUGGAAAAAAGGGCACCUUGUGCAGCACAUACAGCUAUUGGCUGCCUUUUCUGUAAAUUUACCACAACAAGACCACAUGACCCGAGUAAUGAUAUUGUGCCUGUCUGCAAUGGGUAAACAAGGACAAGCAAUGGAACUGAGUCAGUCAGCAACACCCAGUGAAGGUGGCGAAGGUCCAAUCUGCCGGAAAUAACAAAAAUUACACUGUGAACAUGAAUGAUAAAACUGAAGUGGUAAAAAUGGAGGCGCUAAAAUCAAGGCAGUGAAUGAAAAUGGGCAACUUUGAUGUAGUAGUGUAUGAAUCAUAAUGUAACAUAGCUCAUUUGGCCUUAUAUUAACUUGUCUACAGUAUUUGCAAUAAAAGAACAUAGGAGAAAUAGAAGUCAUUGUGGACCGUUAUGGCAAAUGUAAUAACUACAUCUAUGAGAUACAUUUGAAUGUAUUUCUUCUAAUUUAAGAGCUAAAUUGUAAACAUUCUCCUGGUGCCUGGUGGCGGCUAUAGAAGACAUAGCAGGUAAAGAUAUGCCAGUGAUUGGCCGGCUCUGUUAAGAUUAAAUUGAGACAAGUGAAGUUUUAUCUUUUUCAUCUGCGGUUUAGGAAGCAAAUAUACUCAUUUUGGUUGUUAGCUGGAGGGUUAGCCCGCCUGUCAGCAGGGCAGGGCUCUAUCUGACAGUGGAGGAUAGGACAAAAGAGAUAUUAACUUCCUGCAUCAGCAUGUCCACUUGUCCGCUCUGCGCACGUCUUGUCCCCAUUGUAAGACACACAAAGCGGGGCACGUCACAUUUUGGGGGACUAUAAUACCAGGGCCCUACAAAAACGUGGGGCCCUAGUAUUAUAGGCCUUUAAAUUCAGAAAUGUUACAUUGGGCUGCAUGCUAUACACUGUAAAAAAAAAAGCUAACAAACAAAAAAGAAUUCAGGAAGGCACUUUUUGUCAUGCCACAGAGCUGAGCACAGGUUUGUGUUGUGCAGUUUUCCUACAGGGGAUGACUGGCAGGUGCUUCCACACAGCUGAGACACAUUUGAUUCAGUCAAAGAACAGUUCUGAAGCGGCAGGAACCCUGAAGGAGCCGUCAGAUUGUUAUUUCUCCAGAGUGAGUGAGCAUCCAUGGCCGAACCGAUCUGGUUCUCCCUGCCCCUGUGGUCCCGGUCCAAACUUGCGUUCAACCUAGAACACUUCACUGUGUGAGUUGGACCGAGAGCCUCCUUCCAUUUGCUGAAUCAAGCUGCACAAGAAACCACUUACCUCACCUUUAGUGACUCGAUCUGACAUUCACCUGCCUGUCCACCCUCGAACUCCAUACCCCACCUGCUGGAUAUAACAGAGAGAGAGCCUCAAUAACUGCACCGCAACCUCCCCUGUCAACCUCAGCCUCCCGUGGCAUGACUCGCCUUUUCCUCCGGAAACAUCUACCCAGCAUAAAUAAGCUGCCCUGCAAGUUCCAGACCACAAGUGAUAGAGUCCCCUUGUCUGAUGGGGGUGGGCCGCCAUUUCCUGAAUUCACCCCAGCAGAAGAGCUGGCCCUUGCAGUGAACAAGGGGAGGCAUGUCCUAUGGAGCGAGGUGGGCAGAGCGAUCAGGAGACAGACUGCAAAAGAAGAACAGAGCUGACACCUUGAAAUGUUAUGAAUGUCUGUCGGAUAUUUCUGGGACUUGCAAUGAGAUUAUAAAUGAAUGCCCCUCACAGCACCAGUGUUUUGCAGGAAGAUCAGUCUUCUUUAAUGAUACAAGGAUUCAGGAACGCAAAAACAAAUGUUGCAUUGAGCCAAAAGAUUGUUUUGAGGACUCCCAUACUUAUGGAAAGCUCAUAUGCUCAAGGUCAAGUGCUGCCAUGAAGAGCUGUGCAACACCCAAAUCCCUGACUACAAACCCAUUUUAAAUGGCAAAAGGUGCCAUAGCUGUGAAGGACAAAACUGUACUGGACCUAUUAACUGUAAAGGAGAUGAAAACUACUGCUUCAUUGUAACAGAGAUUUUAGGAGGAAAAAGCUUCAUAGGGAAGGGCUGCACCUCUGAGUUUAGAUGCUCAGGUAAACUCCAUAAACUCCAUAAAUAUUAGAAUAUUAGCAUAUUGUGAUAAAGUUCAUUAUUUUCCA